UACGUAGGGACCGAGCGUUGUCCGGAAUCAUUGGGCGUAAAGCGCGUGUAGGCGGCUUGGCAAGUCGGGUGUGAAAGCCCCGGGCUCAACCUGGGAAGUGCACUCGAAACUGCUUGGCUUGAGUACUGGAGAGGGAAGCGGAAUUCUCGGUGUAGAGGUGAAAUUCGUAGAUAUCGAGAGGAACACCGGUGGCGAAGGCGGCUUCCUGGACAGUGACUGACGCUGAGACGCGAAAGCGUGGGGAGCAAACAGG
rnacentral:rRNA from 1 species